GAUAAGACCCCCAUGGAGCUAACCAAAAUCACACUCUGUUCAUUAGCCCAGGAACCCAAAAGCACUCUACCCACAGAACCUAAUAAAGGAUGAAGCUACAUUUUAGACCCAGGUCAUUAGGAUGAAGUAUUUCAUGUGUAUGAUGAGCAGCAAAGCAUUCAAAUGACUUACUGGACACACAGGAUUAAUCUUCAGUUUUUCACACUAACUACAUGUAGGAUGUCUUCUAUGUUUGACCCUUUCCUGGACACAUAAAAGACAAGGGAAACAAAAGCAAAAAUGAGCUAUUGGGACUUCAUCAGGAUAAAAAACUUGCACAUCAAAGGACAAAAACCAAAAGACAGCCAACUGAAUGGAAGAAGAUUUUUCCAAAUGUCUUAUCAGAUAAAGGGCUAGUAUCCAAAAUCUAUCAGGAAUGUAUAAAUUCAACACCCCAAGAACAAGUAAUCCAAUCAAGAAAUGGGCAAAAGACAUGAACAGAAAUUUCUCCAAAGAAGACAUCCAGUUGGCCAAAAGACACAUGAAAAAAAUGCUCCACAUCACUUGACACCAGAGAAAUACAAAUCAAAACCACAAAUAGAUACCACCUCACACCAGUCAGAAUGGCCAAAAUUAACAAGUGAGGAAAUGACAGAUGUUGGUGAGGAUGUAGAAAAAGGGAAACCCUCUUACAUUGCUGGUGGGAAUGCAAGCUGGUAUAUCUAUUCUGGAAAACAGUGGAGGUUCCUCAAGAAGUUAAAAAUAGAGCUACCCUAUGACCCAGCAAUUGAACUACUAGGUAUUUACCCUAAAGACAUAAAUGUGGUGAUCUAAAGAGCCCCUACACUCCAAUGUUUAUAGGGGCAAUGUCCACAACAGCCCAACUCUGGAAAGAGCCCAGAUUUGUCCGACAGAUGAAUGGAUAAAGAGGAAGUGGUAAAUAUAUACAAUGAAAAAUUAGUCAGCCAUCAAAAAAUAAAAUCUUGCCAUUUUCAACGA